AGUCCGAUGGUCUAGUGGUAUGACGUUCGCUUCACAUGCGAAAGGUAAAUAUUCCUUUCCCCAUCUUUGAUGGGAUUUAAAGCUAACAACGUCUUCAGGUCCUGGGUUCGAGCCCCUGUCGGACUA